UGGGGAAUAUUGGACAAUGGGCGCAAGCCUGAUCCAGCCAUGCCGCGUGAGUGACGAAGGUCUUCGGAUUGUAAAGCUCUUUUGCCAGGGACGAUAAUGACGGUACCUGGAGAAUAAGCCCCGGCAAACUUCGUGCCAGCAGCCGCGGUAAUACGAAGGGGGCUAGCGUUGUUCGGAAUUACUGGGCGUAAAGCGCACGUAGGCGGAUUGUUAAGUCAGAGGUGAAAUCCCGGAGCUCAACUUCGGAACUGCCUUUGAUACUGGCAAUCUAGAGUCCGGAAGAGGUUAGUGGAAUUCCCAGUGUAGAGGUGAAAUUCGUAGAUAUUGGGAAGAACACCAGUGGCGAAGGCGGCUAACUGGUCCGGUACUGACGCUGAGGUGCGAAAGCGUGGGAGCAAACAGGAUUAGAUACCCCAGUAGUCCCUGAG
rnacentral:rRNA from 1 species